rnacentral:rRNA from 1 species
CUAACCCGCACCACUUAUCGUGGUGGGAGACAGUGUCAGGCGGGCAGUUUGACUGGGGCGGUCGCCUCCUAAAAGGUAACGGAGGCGCUCAAAGGUUCCCUCAGAAUGGUUGGAAAUCAUUCAUAGAGUGUAAAGGCAUAAGGGAGUUUGACUGCGAGACCUACAAGUCGAGCAGGGUCGAAAGACGGACUUAGUGAUCCGGUGGUUCUGCAUGGAAGGGCCAUCGCUCAACGGAUAAAAGCUACCCCGGGGAUAACAGGCUUAUCUCCCCCAAGAGUUCACAUCGACGGGGAGGUUUGGCACCUCGAUGUCGGCUCAUCGCAUCCUGGGGCUGUAGUCGGUCCCAAGGGUUGGG